rnacentral:rRNA from 1 species
GACGAACCGUGCGAACGUUGUUCGGAAUCACUGGGCUUAAAGGGCGCGUAGGCGGAGUGAAUAGUCGGUGGUGAAAGCCUUCAGCUUAACUGGAGAAGCGCCUCCGAUACUGACUCUCUCGAGGGAGGUAGGGGCAUGUGGAACUCAGGGUGGAGCGGUGAAAUGCGUAGAUAUCCUGAGGAACGCCGGUGGCGAAAGCGACGUGCUGGACCUCUUCUGACGCUGAGGCGCGAAAGCCAGGGGAGCAAACGGG